ACUCGGACUCCCGACUAUUCGGUCUCUACCAGGCUCUCGUUAUCAUCGUCUUGGACGUUCUCGCGACGGUGGUGGUGGUCGUCGUCCUCGUCACCAUCCUCUUCCAAUUCGCAGAGUCCGUGUUCCCAGUUCAUCCGACACUGUUCCCGCGAUACCGAUCCGGUCCCCGUCUCACGGCACUCGCGCGACUAAUCACGAGAGACGAACACCCGUCGACGUAAACGCGGAAGCGCACCUUCAUACGCGCGACGAGGCUGUUAUCGGACGCGACUCGGCACGAACAAUCGCGGUGACGCUGGACCUAGACCAGACCCCGCCGAUACUCUUCCCACUUUCUCCCGUUUUCUUUCAAAGACCAGCACCGAUCGCCGCGUGCAUCGCUCCGGCAACGCGGGUUCCGCUCGACGCUGCGUCGAGGACGACACUGUGUGGAGCUAGCCGACAGUCGCCGCUCGAAUCUCGUCUCCUACGCGUCUCCUCGCGCGAAAAACGUGCGUGCUUCCUGAUUAACACCGACACAGGUCAGGAAGGUUUUUCGUGAGCCGCCGUGCCGGGCAAAAUGUACACCACCAGGGCCGUACGCGUCUAUCCUCGUUCGUCGUCUUCCCGAGGCGUGUAUCGACCCUCGCGAUCCGCUGUUCACUCGCGACCGGGUGACAGUCCUCUUCGCUCUCCGAUCUUCCUCCCCGAGCUUGAAUCCUUGACUCUUCCGGAUCCGGACUAACCUCGGGGUCACUUUGGAGAAAGAGGUUCGCCAGCGUAGCAGAGCUCUGUCCCGGAGGUUCGCGACGUUGCGAUUUUCAGCGCACUGAAAUCUGCGGCACGGAGACCCUUUCCGGAGGCUUGGAGAAUUGGAGUACCGAAGAUUUCGGAUGAAGAUGAUUGGAGCGUAGUAGGAGAGUGACCUAGGCUUUUACAUAAUACUCAUAACAUGUAUAUAUUCAUAAUUGGAUAACGUUGUCAACUGAUAGAAGAUGGACACCUUUCCUUCCGUUAUUCUGGAAUAGAAAUUAAAACAUCCUAUGAAGGCUUGAUGAAAUAAAAAGUUGACUAUGAUGCGAGAAAACAUAAGUCGACAAACAACCAUAUACUGAAGACAAUAAAACUAAUUCAGAAUACAGUAGUAAAGAAUUAUUACUGGAAGAUACCGCGCAAUCUCUGCAAACAGUGUGCAGUUUGAAACCAAUGAAACAUCGCUCGACCACACGAGGAAACUAUCGAGCCUAAAUUACGCGAUAAAAAUUUUUCGUACUCCUAACAGUUUUGUCUACUGCAAUAUAUUUACCAAAAGAUAUACAAAACUAUAUAUGAACAAGCCAAAAUUAGAGAAGAAAAAGAAGUAAUGACCAAACUAAAGACUGGCCACUCUAAACUUACAUACGACUACUUUUUAUAGAAAACCGUUCUUACAUCACGAAAACUCGUCAAAAGUAUCGUAAACCUUUUAAAAGACGGUAACUUUUAUAAAAGCAUUCAAUCACGCGAAUUAGGACAAAUAUAAAUCGAGUUUAAUGGUAUAAAAUUAUACUUUAUAAAAUCAAAUAAUGUCAAAAUAGUAGAAAAUGGAUAUUUACCAUUUCCCAAAGUCUCUUCUAAUAAAACAGAAAUUAAAAACUUCCGCAUUUUAAACACAAAAUUCAACUUUGAAUAUUUAUAAGAAAUUAAAUAAUUAAGAUAUUGGAAAAGUAAUAUGCUAAGAUAAUUCUAUGUUGAAUAUUUCUUAAAAAUUUGAUUAAGUCUACAAUAUCUCGUGUCAGCUAGGUAACAAAAAGGUAGUUUCAAAAACAAGGUAAGAGAAACUUCAAGGUAACACUUUUUCCUGCUAGAGCGAAACCUCAGACGAACGAAGGGCUGACUCUUUUCGAGUCACUCUAAGUAGUUGUCAAGUUGUUUUAGUGUACAGCUCUGUCCUGACUGAAGCGUUUCUCUGUCGUCAUUCGUCUGCUACUUUAUAGAAAUGAGUAUUUUUUAAAAAGCUACUUUAUAGAAUAUGAGUAUCGAUUCAAUUGUCAUGAUAAAAUAUUAGUUUUCGUAGCUGUAUUGAUCAAAUAACAAUAUUCCCGCGCAUGAAACUUUAAGAAACUGUAAAAAAAGUUUCAAGUUUUUGAAACGGAAAUCGAGAUUAUUGAAUGAUGUGUCUUAUUAUAUUGCAGGUUAGUGGUAUGUUAGACUGCGACCUACUGAAAGAAUAUGUAAUACUUUCUGCUCCUUUUUCGUUUUUCUUGAAUGUGCCAAAUGCAAUAUAUAUGUAUAUAAAACUUAUUUCUUUAAUUUGCUUAUAUAUUCUUUCAUCGUUACAUAUUUUUGUUUCUUAUAGGCAUUGUAAUUAUAUUUCUCUUUAAUUAAUCUAUACAAUUUAAUAAGAAGUCUUUGUGAAGUGAUAAUUUAUUGAUUCAAGAUCGAAUCACGUUUUCCUAUCCUGAAAAAUUAACUUUAAAUGAGGUUAAUGGAUUACACCACCUUUGAGUCGUAAAAUAGUUUCAACGUAAAUACUUAGAUAAUCUUUUGAUCGUGGUUGGUUUGUUGCCUUUGUAAUAUCUCAUUUGGCAAGUUCUUCGCACACAUGAAAUUGAACCUUAUUUUUCUGUUGCAAUUUUUGAAAUUUUGUGCCAAGUUCUUCGGCUAACUGGAAUAAAAAUUGUUGCCAUGCAAUUCUUUCUCUGGUUAUCUCUUUAUGUAUAAUAAAACCUGUACAUUUAUUCCAAUUGAGCCAACAGUGUAGUAAGGUUGUAAAGCUAUCUACGAAAUUUCGAAUUUUCGAUUUCACCCUGUAUUUUCUUGCCUGAGAAAAGACAUAAUGAUGAAUAUACGAUAGAAUAACUCAGGACAAAUGACUAAGUUUUCACUCAAUUUUUCAUUUAUGAAAAAAGAAAGCGAGAAAGUGUAUUCAAAUUUUUAUUUAUAUCACUUUAGGAUCAAUUUCAGAAUAGUUUUAAAAAGUUUAUAAAUAACGAAUGCCUAUUAGAGUAUCUAAAAAACUAUAAGGCAAUUAUCGUUAUGCACUGAGUUUUCUCAAAAUCAAAUCACGAUCUUCUAAUAACAACAUAAUUGUUGACAAGCAAUUUUACACAGAAGCGACUUCAUGUCACCGGCUAUUAUUUCGUAAUUGAAUGUGAAAUUAAAACAAUCUAAAUAAACUCAAAUAAACUUUAUUUAUAUUUUACCAACAUAAUGAAUUGAAAUGAAAUAUUUUACAUAUAAAACACGAUGAUCAAAGCUCUUGCAAUAUUUUAUAUCGCCCUGGUUUUCAUAAAUUGAAAUAGAUAAUGCAAGUGUAAACACGAGUUUACUCGUGACCGAUUAACAACGGGUUAAGUCUAUAGUUUCAGACAAAGAACUCAUUGAACAAAUUGUAAGAAUACUCGAGAAAGUAACGAUGUGAUGAUAUUGUAUGUAAGAUAUUGCGCGUAAAAGUUUGAAAACGAUCAUUUGAUCAGGCGCGGUAGGUUUAGCAGAGGAAUAUGGUUUGUUUGUUCAUGGAGUGUGUAGCGUGCAUAGCAUACAAACGCGUAGCGGCAGCUAAAUGCUUAUUACACCUAAAACUGUUGAACUCUGUUCUAUCCUUACCCCAGCUAGCCAAAACAGGAAACUAGCCCUUUCUUUGUUAUUCGAUUCAUCGAGCUAAGUACCGGAAUCCCUUGUGAACUCCAUAUUUUGUUUUGUAUCUUUUUAAGGAUUUUUCCUAGCGCUGCGGCAUUGGGGUACACAUCCCUGCUACAUUGCCAGUCUUUAACCCUUUGCACUCGAGAGGUGACUCUCAUUCACCACUAGGAUUCACGCAACAAAUCUACCACCAAUAAUGUUUCUUUAGGUUUAGUUUCUUUGGAACUCGAAGUGUCGAUAAAAUGACAAUCGGACUAUAUCGUCGAAGUCAAUCUAAUAUUAGAUGAAACGAAACUUUUUCAUAUGUAUAGUUUAUUUAUAGGAUACUUACUUUCGAAAAUAUAAAUGGAAAAGUUAGAAUUUCGUUUGAAAAAAUUGAAUUUCAGAAAAAAGGUAUUCCAAGUUUUGAAUUUUUAUCUCCGAAACUAAACGUCCUAUGAAUAAAUUGUAAAUAUAAAAAAGUUUUAUUGUGGCAUUCUCUAUAAGGUGAUAUUCUUCUUAAAUUCGAUUGUUCGACUAUUGUUUAUUUUUUCUUAAAGACAACAGCAAUAGGAUCAGACCAUUACGAGAUGUCAGGAAAAAGGUAUUCCAAGUUUUGAAUUUUUAUUUUUGAAACUAAACAUCCUACGAAUAAAUUGUAAAUAUAAAAAAGGUUCGUUUUGUCAUUCCCUGGAAGCUGAAAUUUUUUAAAAAUUUACGCCUCUACGUCUUUUAGAAUCUCCAGCAAAAAUUGUCUCGCAGUUAAAUGGUUAAUGAAAGCAAAAUUUAAGUAAGGCAUCGAUCGACUUGUUUGAAAACCCUGUCAAUGAAUUCACUAUACACUAUACACAAACAACAUUAUAACCAACUGAAUGUUUUAAAAUUUGUCUUGUCUUUAAUAGUUUUCGUUUAUGAAAUUUAUUAUUUUUUUAUCAUUUUUAAAAUUUUGAAACAUAACAAUGAAUUGUGCAUUUUUAACAAAGAAAAUAUAUUUCUUCAAAGCAAAGCAAAUCAAAGCAAAGUGGCUUUUUACUUAUG